ACGGAGGGUGCAAGCGUUAUCCGGAUUCACUGGGUUUAAAGGGUGCGUAGGUGGGUUGGUAAGUCAGUGGUGAAAUCUCCGAGCUUAACUUGGAAACUGCCAUUGAUACUAUCAGUCUUGAAUACCGUGGAGGUCAGCGGAAUAUGUCAUGUAGCGGUGAAAUGCUUAGAUAUGACAUAGAACACCAAUUGCGAAGGCAGCUGACUACGCGAAUAUUGACACUGAUGCACGAAAGCGUGGGGAUCAAACAGGAUUAGAUACCCUGGUAGUCCACGCCCUAAACGAUGGAUACUCGACAUACGCGAUACACUGUGUGUGUCUGAGCGAAAGCAUUAAGUAUCCCACCUGGGAAGUACGAUCGCAAGAUUG
rnacentral:rRNA from 1 species